rnacentral:rRNA from 1 species
GACGAACGCUGGCGGCGUGCUUAACACAUGCAAGUCGAACGGUAAGGCCCUUCGGGGUACACGAGUGGCGAACGGGUGAGUAACACGUGGGUGAUCUGCCCUGCACUUCGGGAUAGGCCUGGGAAACUGGGUCUAAUACCGGAUAGGACUCCUGGCUUCAUGGUUGGGGGUGGAAAGCUUUUGCGGUGUGGGAUGGGCCCGCGGCCUAUCAGCUUGUUGGUGGGGUAAUGACCUACCAAGGCGACGACGGGUAGCCGGCCUGAGAGGGUGACCGGUCACACUGGGACUGGGGUACGGCCCAGACUCCUACGGGAGGCAGCAGUGGGGAAUAUUGCACAAUGGGCGCAAGCCUGAUACAGCGACGCCGCGUGAGGGAUGACGGCCUUCGGGUUGUAAACCUCUUUCAGCUAUGACGAAGCGCAAGUGACGGUAGUAGCAGAAGAAGGACCGGCCAACUACGUGCCAGCCGCCGCCGUAA